UGGGGAAUUUUGGGCAAUGGGCGCAAGCCUGACCCAGCAACGCCGCGUGAAGGACGAAAUCCCUCCGGGAUGUAAACUUCGAAAGUCAGGAAAGAAAUCUCAGGGGCGAAUACCCCUUGAGGAUGACGGUACCUGAUAUAAGCCCCGGCUAACUACGUGCCAGCAGCCGCGGUAAUACGUAGGGGGCAAGCGUUGUUCGGAAUUACUGGGCGUAAAGGGCGCGUAGGCGGCACGGCAAGUCGGGAGUGAAAGGCCUGGGCUCAACCCAGGAACGGCUUUCGAGACUGCCGAGCUAGAGUGCGGAAGGGGCAACUGGAAUUCCCAGUGUAGCGGUGAAAUGCGUAGAUAUUGGGAAGAACACCGGAGGCGAAGGCGGGUUGCUGGGCCGACACUGACGCUGAGGCGCGAAAGCCAGGGGAGCAAACGG
rnacentral:rRNA from 1 species